rnacentral:lncRNA from 1 species
UACAUAUGACAAAACCCAGAAGAACAAGGGAUGCUAUUUGUGGACUGAAUGUUUGUGUCUCCCCAGAAUUCAUGUUGAAACCCUAUUCCCCAGUGUGAUAGCAUUAGGAGUUGGGCCUUUGAGAGGUUAGUAGGAUUAGAUAAGGUCAUAAUGGUGGAGCCCUCAUAAAUGGGAUUAGUGCCCUUAUAAGAGUCACAAGAGAGCUUAUUUCCCUUCUCUGCUCUCCACCAUGUGAGGAUAAAAUGAGAAGUCAGCAGUCUGGAACCCGGAAGAGAAACCUCAUCAGAAACUGACCAUGCUGGCACCCUAAAACUGGGACUUCCAGCCUCCAGAAUAAAGCUUUUUUCACACAAGACACCAGUGCAGAGAUGAAUAAGAUCCAGACCCUUCUCUGGAGGUGGAAGGGAUGUUAUAGAUCGGGACCGUGGCUAUCCAAAGCUAUGUGCAAAUUGAAAUUAUAAGGAAGCAGAAAAGCUAUGAAGAGGUGGAGAGAGGAAAAGAGAGAUAUACACAGAAAUGGAGCUGAAGAAAGG